UGUUUGUGUCUUUGAGCUGAUUAAUAUGAUUGAUAUUGUGCUGAAAGUUACCAUAUUUCGGGUACUUGAAGAUGCAGCGCCAGUAAAUCAACUUCCAAGUAGAAUCAUGCCUAAAUUAAACUAAUCAUAAUUUACUUGGUGAUUUCUGACUUGUAAAAAUCUGUCAGGUAUAUCUAUCUUCUUGGUUGUUCUUUUAACUGAUCUUUUUUAUUCAGCUAGAAUCUGGUAUGUCUAGUUUUUUAGCAUAACCUGAUUGAAAACAACCUUUUGCAUCAUCAAUAACAAAUGCCAAAUGCCAAACUGAAGCAUAACAAACAUAUAUAAUCAGACUUUAUUUUUG
rnacentral:misc_RNA from 1 species